rnacentral:rRNA from 1 species
UACAGAGGUCCCAAGCGUUGUUCGGAUUUACUGGGCGUAAAGGGCGCGUAGGCGGGAUGGCAAGUCGGUCGUGAAAUCCCUCGGCUCAACUGAGGAUCGUCGAUCGAUACUGCCGUUCUUGAGGAUUGCAGAGGAGACUGGAAUUCCCGGUGUAGCGGUGAAAUGUGUAGAGAUCGGGAGGAACACCGGUGGCGAAGGCGGGUCUCUGGGCAAUUCCUGACGCUGAGGCGCGAAAGCGUGGGGAGCAAACGGG